rnacentral:rRNA from 1 species
GACGAACGCUGGCGGCGUGCUUAACACAUGCAAGUCGAACGGAAACGCCCUGCGUGCGUGGGGUGCUCGAGGGGCGAACGGGGGAGUAACACGUGAGUAACCUGCCCUUGAUUUUGGGAGAACUUCAGGUAACUGGGGCUAAGACCAGAUAGGAGCUGCCGCUGCAUGGUGGGGGUUGGAAAGUCUCGGCGGGUGGGGAUGGACUCGCGGCUUAUGAGCUAGUUGGUGGGGUAGGGGCUGACCAAGGCUUGGACGGGUAGCCGGCCUGAGAGGGUGAACGGCCACAUUGGGACUGAGGUACGGAGCAGACGGCAACGGGAGGCAGCAGGGGGAAAUAUUGCACAAUGAGCGGGAGCCUGAGACAGAAGCGCCGCGUGCGGAAUGCCGGCCUUCGGGUUGUAAACCGCUUUCGCCUAUGACGAAGCGUGAGUGACGGUAAUGGGUAAAGAAGCACCGGCUAACUACGUG